UGGGUGAGAGCGGCGAACGGGUGAGUAAUGUAUGGGUAAUUUGCUUAAAGCCCGGGAUAGCUACUCGAAAGGGUAGGUAAUACCGGAUGUGCUCGGGUGCCGCAUGGCACCUUAUGUGAAGGCGGGGAUCUUCGGACCUGCCACUUUAAGAUAAGCCCAUAUCCUAUCAGCUAGUUGGUAAGGUAACGGCUUACCAAGGCUUACGGGUAGCUGGUCUGAGAGGACGACCAGCCACACUGGGACUGAGACACUGCCCAGACUCCUACGGGAGGCUGCAGUCGAGAAUAUUUGUCAAUGUACGAAAGUAUGAACAUGCGACGCCGCGUGGAGGAAGAAGGCCUUCGGGUUGUAAACUCCUGUCAUGAGGGAGUAAGUGUAUGCCGGCUAAUACCCUGCAUACUUGACAGUACCUCAAGAGGAAGUCACGGCUAACUCUGUGCCAGCAGCCGCGGUAAUACAGAGGUGGCGAGUGUUGUUCGGAUUUACUGGGCGUAAAGGGUCCGCAGGCGGCUUUGUGUGUCAGAUGUGAAAGCCCACGGCUCAACCGUGGAAUGGCAUUUGAAACUACAGAGCUAGAGUACAGGAGAGGAUAGGGGAAUUCAUGGUGUAGCGGUGAAAUGCGUAGAUAUCAUGAAGAACACCGGUGGCGAAAGCGCCUAUCUGGACUGAUACUGACGCUCAGGGAUGAAAGCCAGGGGAGCAAAGAGGAUUAGAUACCCUCGUAGUCCUGGCCAUAAACGGUGCGCACUUGAUGUGGGAGGUUUACCCCCUUCCGUGUCGAAGCUAACGCGAUAAGU
rnacentral:rRNA from 1 species